GACGAACGCUGGCGGCGUGCUUAACACAUGCAAGUCGAACGGAAAGGCCCUGCUUUUGUGGGGUGCUCGAGUGGCGAACGGGUGAGUAACACGUGAGUAACCUGCCCUUGACUUUGGGAUAACUUCAGGAAACUGGGGCUAAUACCGGAUAGGAGCUCCUGCUGCAUGGUGGGGGUUGGAAAGUUUCGGCGGUUGGGGAUGGACUCGCGGCUUAUCAGCUUGUUGGUGGGGUAGUGGCUUACCAAGGCUUUGACGGGUAGCCGGCCUGAGAGGGUGACCGGACACAUUGGGACUGAGAUAAGGCCCAGACUCCUACGGGAGGCAGCAGUGGGGAAUAUUGCACAAUGGGCGGAAGCAUGAUGCAGCAACGCCGCGUGCGGGAUGACAGCCUUCGGGUUGUAAACCGCUUUCGCCUGAGACGAAGCGUGAGUGACGGUAAUGGGUAAAGAAGCACCGGCUAACUACGUG
rnacentral:rRNA from 1 species